rnacentral:misc_RNA from 1 species
AGUAGAAACAGCGAUGUGUUCAAAGGCGAAUGCUAGGAGUGCGUCACCGGCAAGAACCGCCACAUCCUCUCCAAACACAAUGUGAUUGGUGGGCUUUCCACGGCGGAGAUUAUCGUUGUCCAUGCAAGGGAGGUCAUCAUGUAUAAGAGACAUGGUAUGGAUCAUUUCCACGGCGCAAGCAGCGGGCAUCGCCAUGGAAUCGUUCCCACCAACAAGCUCACACGCA